UACGUAGGGUGCGAGCGUUAAUCGGAAUUACUGGGCGUAAAGCGUGCGCAGGCGGUUCGUUGUGUCGGUGGUGAAAUCCCCGGGCUUAACCUGGGAAUGGCCAUGGAAACUGGCGAACUGGAGUGCGGCAGAGGGGGGUGGAAUUCCGCGUGUAGCAGUGAAAUGCGUAGAGAUGCGGCGGAACACCGAUGGCGAAGGCAGCCCCCUGGGCUUAAAUUGACGCUGAGGCACGAAAGCGUGGGGAGCAAACAGG
rnacentral:rRNA from 1 species